GACGAACGCUGGCGGCGUGCUUAACACAUGCAAGUCGAACUAAGUGGCGAACGGGUGAGUAACGCGUAAUCAACCUGCUCUUCAGAGGGGGACAACAGUUAGAAACGACUGCUAAUACCUCAUACUAACGGAGGGGAUUGCGUCUGAUUAGCUAGUUGGACGGGUAACGGCCCACGAAGGCGAUGAUCAGUAGCCGGUCUGAGAGGAUGAACGGCCAAAUAGGGACUGAGACACGGCCCAGACUCCUACGGGAGGCAACAUCGGGGAAUCUUCCGCAAUGGACGAAAGUCUGACGGAGCAACGCCGCGUGAGUGAUGACGGCCUUCGGGUUGUAAAGCUCUGUUAAUCGGGACGCGGUACCGGAAUUGAAAACCACGGCUAACUACGUGCCAGCAGCCGCGGUAAUAC
rnacentral:rRNA from 1 species